ensembl:snRNA U6 U6 spliceosomal RNA
GGGCUCGCUUUGGCCGCACAUAUACUAAAGUUAGAAUGAUACAAAGCAGAUUAGCACGGCCCCAGCUCAAGGGCAACAUGAAAACUUGUAAAGCCAAAGCAAAGUCC